UACGGAGGGUGCUAGCGUUGUUCGGAAUUACUGGGCGUAAAGCGCACGUAGGCGGGUUGUUAAGUCAGGGGUGAAAUCCUGGAGCUCAACUCCAGAACUGCCUUUGAUACUGGCAACCUAGUGACUGGAAGAGGUUAGUGGAAUUCCCAGUGUAGAGGUGAAAUUCGUAGAUAUUGGGAAGAACACCAGUGGCGAAGGCGGCUAACUGGUCCAGCACUGACGCUGAGGUGCGAAAGCGUGGGGAGCAAACAGG
rnacentral:rRNA from 1 species